UACGUAGGGGGCUAGCGUUGUCCGGAAUCAUUGGGCGUAAAGAGCGUGUAGGCGGUCCGGUAAGUCCGCUGUGAAAGUCGGGGGCUCAACCCUCGAAUGCCGGUGGAUACUGUCGGGCUAGAGUGCGGAAGAGGCGAGUGGAAUUCCUGGUGUAGCGGUGAAAUGCGUAGAUAUUGGGAAGAACACCUGAGGCGAAGGCGGGAUGCUGGGCCGACACUGACGCUGAGGCGCGAAAGCCAGGGGAGCAAACGGG
rnacentral:rRNA from 1 species